GAUGAUGGUUUUAUGUUUUGCGAACAAACUUAGCAUCGUUGUCUUCACACCCGCUGCCAAGUUUGCGGGGGAGUAUUAGAGUCCACAAGAAAGAGAAGCCCAAGCCCAAUGUGAUGUUAUGUAAUUAGGGUUCUUUACCAAGAUAGAUUACUAUAUAAAGUGUGUAAUGAACAUCAUUGUCUUCAAGCUUGAGAGUUGUCAAAGAGGCAACUCUCCUUCUUCCCCAUUUUAUGAUUGAAUCAAAAUAUUACUAAUCUUGGUGACAAUCUAAAGCUCUCUGCUUUCUUUAUAUUUACUUGCACACAAUAAAUCUCAAUGAGCUAUCUUUAUAUUUCUAGCUUAAUAAGCUCUUUAAGAGCAUUUCUUUGAGUUUGCUUUCAGUUCGAGCCAAAUUUUGUCUAUUGCAUUUAUGAUUUAACAUACCAAAAUUUUGAAUUUCACUAAAUCAGAAAAAAAAAAAAUCGUCUAACAUUAAAUGGGCUUUGUGCAUCAUAAUAUCAUAUUGGACAUGCCCAUACACUAAAACCUG
rnacentral:lncRNA from 1 species